GGGGGUGUAGCUCACCUGGCUAGAGCGUUUGCAUGGCAUGCAAAAGGUAAGGGGUUCAAGUCCCCUCAUCUCCA
rfam:Treponema sp. CETP13 contig643, whole genome shotgun sequence.